rnacentral:rRNA from 1 species
GGAGGGAAACGAAUGCAGCUGAAGUGGCUCCGUAUCAGGUUCAGGGGGUGUCGGCGGAUGUGCCGGGUUUGGGCAGCUCGCGCGUCCUUGCUCGGAUAGGUCGUCGACUUGCACUCCCGUUGGGAGCCGGCCAACAGCAGUUGUUUCUGGCCCAGAAGGGAGCGUAUAGCCGUCCGCGACUGAGGAGAGCAGCGCAGGCCCCCGGGUCGCCUCUGUCCGCUUCCCCGCGGCGGGGGCAGUGUCCGCUGACGGCCAGUCUGCUCGGUCGGGGGACCGACUACGCCUUGCGCUCUAGUUGUUGGUGCUCAAAUGGCUGCAUCCGACCCGUCUUGAAACACGGACCAAGGAGUGCAACAUGCGUGCGAGUCUUGGGGUGGCAAACCCGUCGGCGCAAUGAAAGUGAAGGCAGGCCGCAUCGUCGACCGAUCCCAGGCUACGCUGUGGCGGGAUUUGAGUAAGAGCGUGCCUGUUGCGACCCGAAAGAUGGUGAACUAUGCCUGAAUAGGGUGAAGCCAGAGGAAACUCUGGUGGAAGCUCGUAACGAUUCUGACGUGCAAAUCGAUCGUCAAAUUUGGGUAUAGGGGCGAAAGACUAAUCGAACCAUCUAGUAGCUGGUUCCCUCCGAAG